CCUACGGGUGGCAGCAGUGGGGAAUAUUGCACAAUGGGGGAAACCCUGAUGCAGCGACGCCGCGUGAGUGAAGAAGUAUUUCGGUAUGUAAAGCUCUAUCAGCAGGGAAGAAGAAAGACGGUACCUGACUAAGAAGCCCCGGCUAACUACGUGCCAGCAGCCGCGGUAAUACGUAGGGGGCAAGCGUUAUCCGGAUUUACUGGGUGUAAAGGGAGCGUAGACGGCUGUGCAAGUCUGAAGUGAAAGCCCAGGGCUCAAACCUGGGACUGCUUUGGAAACUGUUGAGCUAGAGGGCUGGAGAGGUAAGGGGAAUUUCUAGGGUAGCCGUGAAAUGCGUAGAUAAUAGGAGGAACACCAGGUGCGAAGGCGGCUUACUGGACCGUAACUUACGUUGAGGCCCGAAAGCGUGGGGAGCAAACCGGAUUAGAUACCCCAGUAGUC
rnacentral:rRNA from 1 species